UCCUCUUUCCCCUACCUACCAAAUACCAACUUACUACUUAAAACCUCAGGAUUCAGCAUCAUAAGUACCUCAGAUGGGUAAGGUUGUUUCUACUUGUGUCAUUUUCAACCUCAGGGUGAAGAAUAAUUCUACAGUCAUUCUAUCAAAAGAUUGAUCUUUCAUUUCAGGCUAAUCAUACCAGCAGUGAACUUGGAAAAUUCCCAUAUGAACGAACAGAUUGGAAGGUUGACUGAAGAGAAAAACCAAAGCAUAGUUGAAAAUCUGAUAGCGUAUACACAUUGAGUCUGCAAAAAUUGUCAGAACUGCCGGAAAAAAGGUUUCCUUCUUACACACUAUGCCUUGUUUGGAUGCCCCAUUGUUGAAGUAAAGUCUUAGGAAAGGAGGUGACAUUUAUAACUAAAACACAUUAAAAAACAAGGGAACUUCAUUUACUUUCUUUUAUGCUUAUUCAUUUCAAUUUCAAACACAUUAUUAUUAUUAGCAUUUAUUAUAAUAAAUUUUGGGAGGGUUGGUAUCUUGGAUGAAGAACUU